rnacentral:rRNA from 1 species
GAGGGGUGCCCUUCGGGGAGCCGUGAGACAGGUGCUGCAUGGCUGUCUGAGAUGUUGGGUUAAGUCCCGCAACGAGCGCAACCCCUAUGGAUAGUUGCCAGCAAGUAAUGUUGGGCACUCUAUUCAGACUGCCCGGGUUAACCGGGAGGAAGGUGGGGACGACGUCAAGUCAUCAUGGCCCUUACGCCUAGGGCUACACACGUACUACAAUGGCGCGCACAAAGGGGAGCGAGACCGCGAGGUGGAGCCAAUCCCAAAAAACGCGUCCCAGUCCGGAUUGCAGUCUGCAACUCGACUGCAUGAAGUUGGAAUCGCUAGUAAUUCGAGAUCAGCAUGCUCGGGUGAAUGCGUUCCCGGGCCUU